rnacentral:rRNA from 1 species
AUUGAACGCUGGCGGCAGGCCUAACACAUGCAAGUCGAGCGGUAGCACAGAGAGCUUGCUCUCGGGUGACGAGCGGCGGACGGGUGAGUAAUGUCUGGGAAACUGCCUGAUGGAGGGGGAUAACUACUGGAAACGGUAGCUAAUACCGCAUAACGUCGCAAGACCAAAGUGGGGGACCUUCGGGCCUCAUGCCAUCAGAUGUGCCCAGAUGGGAUUAGCUAGUAGGUGGGGUAAUGGCUCACCUAGGCGACGAUCCCUAGCUGGUCUGAGAGGAUGACCAGCCACACUGGAACUGAGACACGGUCCAGACUCCUACGGGAGGCAGCAGUGGGGAAUAUUGCACAAUGGGCGCAAGCCUGAUGCAGCCAUGCCGCGUGUGUGAAGAAGGCCUUCGGGUUGUAAAGCACUUUCAGCGGGGAGGAAGGCGAUAAGGUUAAUAACCUCAUCGAUUGACGUUACCCGCAGAAGAAGCACCGGCUAACUCCGUGCCAACAGCCGCGGUAAUACGGAGGGUGCAAGCGUUAAUCGGAAUUACUGGGCGUAAAGCGCACGCAGGCGGUCUGUCAAGUCGGAUGUGAAAUCCCCGGGCUCAACCUGGGAACUGCAUUCGAAACUGGCAGGCUAGAGUCUUGUAGAGGGGGGUAGAAUUCCAGGUGUAGCGGUGAAAUGCGUAGAGAUCUGGAGGAAUACCGGUGGCGAAGGCGGCCCCCUGGACAAAGACUGACGCUCAGGUGCGAAAGCGUGGGGAGCAAACAGGAUUAGAUACCCUGGUAGUCCACGCCGUAAACGAUGUCGAUUUGGAGGUUGUGCCCUUGAGGCGUGGCUUCCGGAGCUAACGCGUUAAAUCGACCGCCUGGGGAGUACGGCCGCAAGGUUAAAACUCAAAUGAAUUGACGGGGGCCCGCACAAGCGGUGGAGCAUGUGGUUUAAUUCGAUGCAACGCGAAGAACCUUACCUGGUCUUGACAUCCACAGAACUUUCCAGAGAUGGAUUGGUGCCUUCGGGAACUGUGAGACAGGUGCUGCAUGGCUGUCGUCAGCUCGUGUUGUGAAAUGUUGGGUUAAGUCCCGCAACGAGCGCAACCCUUAUCCUUUGUUGCCAGCGGUCCGGCCGGGAACUCAAAGGAGACUGCCAGUGAUAAACUGGAGGAAGGUGGGGAUGACGUCAAGUCAUCAUGGCCCUUACGACCAGGGCUACACACGUGCUACAAUGGCAUAUACAAAGAGAAGCGACCUCGCGAGAGCAAGCGGACCUCAUAAAGUAUGUCGUAGUCCGGAUUGGAGUCUGCAACUCGACUCCAUGAAGUCGGAAUCGCUAGUAAUCGUAGAUCAGAAUGCUACGGUGAAUACGUUCCCGGGCCU